CUGGAAGCUCCUAGCAGAGGCUGAAGACACUGGUUAGGUCCUGGUGAGUGCCUUGGGAUGCAUCCCAGGCAACGGGGCCAGCAGCUCGAGGUCAUGUCCACCUGGCUCACCAGGGAGUCCUGCACCAUUCUUCAUACCUAACUGGAAGAGACACUGAUCCUUCCUCCCACCUAAGGGCUCCCAGAGCCACAGGUCUCCGCCUCUCCUGCAACACCUCCUGCUGCCUGUUCCCACCGCCCAUGAUUCACUCAGUCACCAUCCUUGGCAGCACCCGACAGACUCUGUGUGUCUGUGUCACUCACCAUUACCAGCCCCCUGGGUGCCCAAUGCAUGUAUGUUAGACAGAACAAAUGCACGGCGGCCUUCAGCAGCACCGACCGCGUCGACCCCUCUCUGUGCUCACACCAGGAGUGUGCACACGCCCUCCCACGGAAUGGGAGAAGGUGAUAACACAGCUGAGCUGGGUGUCCAGAAGCCAGCCCCACCCCACAGCCACUACUGAGAGGUUAUGAGAUCAUGGCCUUAUCCUGAGUAAUGCUGCUGCAGCGAACUGGGACUUUUUUCCUCUGAAUUCGAAGGUGGGGCAGUCUAGGCGCCUGGAUGCGCGGUCGGCUCUGUCCCGGCCCGGUGGCUGCUCACUGUGGGAUGCUGUGCGAUUAGACAGUUACUAUCUUUCCCUGGUUGACGGAUUAGAGUUUCCCUUUUCUGAGCAUCUUGUUUUGAAGUGAUCCGAAGUGUUCAGGAUUAAAGAGCGUGAUUUUCCCAAACUGUCCAAAAAAUAGAAGCAGGUCUGCACGAGGAGGGUGCCCAGGACCUUGAGGUGGAAGCGAGAUGGGGUGAGACCUGGGGAGCUCUCCAGGCCACCGGGAAGCUGCACGUCAUCCUCUGGACCUCUUUGCUGACUGUGUGCUGUCACCACAGCAGCCGCCUUCUGUCAUCUGUUAACAGGACUUUACGUAACUUUCCAUACACUUGGUUGUUGACAAUUAAGUAGACUGUUUUUAAAGAUACUUGAAAUGAUAUCAGAAUUUCCUAAAUCUAUCAUUAAAACAGGAAACUUAGUUACCUACUCACUCGAAUCACUAGAGAAUACCAAAUAGGAAUAGGAAAAUAACACACU
rnacentral:lncRNA from 1 species